rnacentral:lncRNA from 1 species
CUGCACUUUAGCGGGGCUUUCACAGCGUGCUCGGAGGGGGGAAGCUCUAAAAACAGCGCUCGGAGCUCUUAGCCUGUCUUUUGUCCUCUGUUUUUUCUGGCCGUGUUCAGUUUGCCGGCUUUGUCUGCGUGUUGCAAAGUGCCAUCAGCAUCGACGGCACCGCGGAAACACCCGUAACAAGGAGAGGCAUCGAUCCGUGCUGCGGAGAGGCCCGACCACCACGCGGAGGGGCCGCGCUGGGUUUCCUGGAUGGCAGGAGCAGGUCGCGGGCACGCACACGCACACACGCACACACGCACACCCCUGCCCUCGCCCCGUCCUGCCUCGCUGCGGGGCCGGCGGAGAGGCCUCCUCCCGAUGGGGGCUCUGGGAGGAGCGCGCGGGGAGGCAGCAGGCAACGAGUGGGCAGCAGCGCGUGCGGGAGCGGCGCUGGCGCUGCGGGAGGAGUGAUUCAGCCCUCAGCUGGCGAGCUCCCGGUGCCCACCCUUUGUUUAUUCCUGCGCCGCUCGAAGCUCGCGUGUGCCGAGCAGGAGGAUAACUGUUAUCUCCUCUGCGGGCUCCGGGGAGGCAGCAGCCUCCGCCUGAGCACGGCGGGAGGCUCACACGGCCCGGGCUUUGCUCCGAGCCCAGGGUUUGCUCGGGGUGGCUGCUGGGGUCCCGUGCCCCACGGCGGGCACACGCGGGAACCUGACCCAGCUCGGGCAGGAGAGGCCAAGGAGGGAUGGAGGCUGCCCGGGGUGUUGUCUGCAUGGGAAUCUCCGCCCCUGGGCUUGUUAGACGGCUCGUGGAGGAAGGCCAAGCCAUCGUCUUCCUCAAAAGCUCCCACUGGCUGAGAGAGCCGUCCGAGGGAAGGCUCAUGGGACUGGUGUGGGGACUUGGAGCCUCAGCCUGUGCCAACGCAGCCAGCCUGGCUGCUGGCUCCCCGUGCGGCUCCUCGGCCCGCCUUGCCGGCGGCACUGUAGGGCCGGCAGAAGCGGGGUGGAGCGGGAAGCACCCGAGAGCCCCGCUGAAAGGGAGCAGGAGGGGAAAGUGCACAUGACAAGCAAA